rnacentral:rRNA from 1 species
CCUACGGGGUGCUGCAGUGAGGAAUCUUGGUCAAUGGCCGGAAGGCUGAACCAGCCAUGCCGCGUGAAGGUCAGUGCCCUAUGGGCGUUAAACUUCUUUUGUGCGGGAGCAAUAAUGGUCACGUGUGGCCAGACGAGAGUACCGUACGAAUAUGGAUGGGCUAACUCCGUGCCAGCAGCCGCGGUAAUACGGAGGAUCCGAGCGUUGUCCGGAUUUAUUGGGUUUAAAGGGAGCGUAGUCGGGUUGUUAAGUCAGGUGUGAAAGUUUGGGGCUCAACCGUAAAAUUGCAAUUGAUACUGGCAGUCGUGAGUACAGGUGAGGUAGGCGGAAUUCGUGGUGUAGCGGUGAAAUGCGUAGAUAUCACGAAGAACUCCGAUUGCGAAGGCAGCUUACUAAACUGCCACUGACAUUGAUGCUCGAAAGUGUGGGUAGCAAACAGGAUUAGAUACCCUUGUAGUC